rnacentral:tRNA from 1 species
GGAUCGGUGGCUGAGUGGUCGAAAGCGCUCCCCUGCUAAGGGAGUAUACCCCAAAAGGGUAUCGAGGGUUCGAAUCCCUCCCGAUCCGCCG